UGCCAUUGUGCGGAAACUUCUAGGCGAAGCGAAGGCGGCGGCCAACGCGGCGCUGCCGGCGGCGGCGGCCGGGUGCCUCCACCUCCAGGACGAGGCUCGCAGCCACGUCCGUCGCCCCCCUACCGCAGCUCCUCAAUGCUCCGCCGCCCGCCGACCUCGUCCUCUCCCCCAAACUUUUGCCCCUUCCUGACCUGCUCCUCUUCACCCACACUUUUCGCGACGCCGAGCACGGCAUGGCAGCCGAGCGCCUCCCUCGACGCAUCACCUCCCCGACCUCCCUCCCCCUCUCUUCAUGCAUCUCCAUGGCCGCGAGCCCCGCUUGCCGGCCGGUUGCGCAAGAGCGCCGGCCCCAUGCUCAGCCGACCAGGGUGAGCCCAGCCGGCUGCAGCCCGGCUGCCGCCGCCACCGCUGGCCACUGGCCACCGGUCAGUGUGGACAUGAUCACCGCUUUGCUUGGCCCCGGCUCGUCGCCCGUCCUCAGCGGGCAUGCAUGCAGCCGCCAUGGCAGCGCCGGCCCCGCCACCGCCGCUGUCGGCCUCGGCCGCGGGCGACCUGGGCACGAACCGCUCACCGGUGGCCAAUCCGAGCCCAGCCGCCUGACCGCCGCGGGCGCGGGCGAGCAGGCUGGCUGGCCGACUGCAGCCCGGCCACCGCUGGCACCGCCACCCCGGCUGGCCACGGGCCGCCGGUCAGCGUGGGCACGGCUGCUACCCUCCUUCACUCCCUCUUCAACCAAGAUUCAUUAAUCAAUUUGUUGUUCUUCCCUUCCCAGCAGGAGCAAGAAGAUAUGCAUCGGGGAUCUGAUUUUGGUGAUUCCCCUAGCCACGCAGAUUCCUCCCAUGUCACCAAGUUGGUCUCUCUAUGCCACGCAGAGUCCUCCCAUGUCGUUAAUACGCGUGUGUGCAGCAGUAGGCUGUAGGAACGAACAAAGAAUAUUCACCUUAGCAUUUCUACAAAAUUGACCAUAGGAAUGAGACAUUGGAAUUGAGGGAUUGAGGAUCUUAUUUAUCUUGGCAAGGGUGUUCUUUAAGGGUGAGACCUGUCACUGUCAGGAGGUGUCCAGCCACGGCGGCGGCGCCAAGGACGACAGUGGCAUCGGCACACCUACUAGGCCUCUGGCAGCGCACGAGUGCCGUGAAGGUGCUGCAGCAGAGCAACAGCCACCAGAUGCAGGCCGGCAGCAGCAGCACUCAAAUGCAGGCAAGAGGAAGCUGGGCAGCCCGGCAAUGUAAUUUGAUCUCCCUCCUAUGACCAUAUAGUUGCACCUUGAAGAUAUUCAACACAGGCCACAUUUCCAGGAACAAUCAGGUCACCAUAUCGACAUAGCAGAGCAACCUUCCACCACAAAUGGCACCGCUUCAAGUGCACCAUCAGUAUUCACCGCCCAGAUCGAUGCAGCCGCCCAGAACGCUGCCGAGAAAAUCUUUGCGGAAUUGUGCAACCUAACAAUGGAUGCAGAAACUUAAAUUUACUUUUCCAACACAAAUUCAUCCUUUUCACCUUCAUUUGAGGUACCAGAUCCAUUCAUGGGUGCUUCUACCAAUAUUCUAGCUGCAUUCACAAUUAAAGAGGUACACCGAGAUCAUCUGCACCCA